AUGAACGCUGGCGGCGUGCCUAAUACCUGCAAGUCGAGCGAACGGACGAGAAGCUUGCUUUUCUGAUGUUAGCGGCGGACGGGUGAGUAACACGUGGAUAACCUACCUAUAAGACUGGGAUAACUUCGGGAAACCGGAGCUAAUACCGGAUAAUAUUUUGAACCGCAUGGUUCAAAAGUGAAAGACGGUCUUGCUGUCACUUAUAGAUGGAUCCGCGCUGCAUUAGCUAGUUGGUAAGGUAACGGCUUACCAAGGCAACGAUGCAUAGCCGACCUGAGAGGGUGAUCGGCCACACUGGAACUGAGACACGGUCCAGACUCCUACGGGAGGCAGCAGUAGGGAAUCUUCCGCAAUGGGCGAAAGCCUGACGGAGCAACGCCGCGUGAGUGAUGAAGGUCUUCGGAUCGUAAAACUCUGUUAUUAGGGAAGAACAUAUGUGUAAGUAACUGUGCACAUCUUGACGGUACCUAAUCAGAAAGCCACGGCUAACUACGUG
rnacentral:rRNA from 1 species